GGCCCGUUGGUCAAGCGGUCAAGACGCCGCCCUCUCACGGCGGAAACAGCGGUUCGAUUCCGCUACGGGCUA
rnacentral:tRNA from 1 species